GGAUUGGCCCAACAUCUCUGGAUGACAGCGCCAUCCCAAAAACAGUAAGAGGAAAGUAGAAAAAUGGCAGUGUUCUAUUUGUGCCACCCAGUCUGAAGCCAUUGGUACCCCUGUCGUGGUUGAAAAUGGCUGCCAACAACUGAGAACCUGGAUAUUCACUUAAGUUGAAUGCUAGGAAAAUAGCAUCAUCUGUGGCUAGAGGCUGUGACUCUGGACAGCCCAGCAAGUGUCCUUCUGCCUGAGAUCCAGGCACCACUAUGCAUGUAAACAGUGACUGAGUCUGAGGUCCUCCCACCUCUGCACAGUUACUAAUUAAUAAAGGAAGAUGAAAGGAAGGACUCAGGUCCUGGCGCCAGGAGACUUCGACCAGCUAGUAUGAAGCUAGCUCUGCCAUUUAUAACUUUACAAAGUUGUCUCCUACAAAAUACGGGUUUCCUUGCCUCCAAGGCGGGAAUCAUCAUCAACAUUUUGAAGUUUGCAGUUAGGGCUAAAUGAGACAU